rnacentral:lncRNA from 1 species
UUCCUAUCUAGGUCACUCCUGCAAACAUUAGCUCAUUCUUACCAUAGACAAAGUAAUAACAGUGUUUUUCUGUUUUCCCAGAGUUGUACUUCCGGGACUCAGCACAUCAGAUAAUGCAGCUUUGUUAGCCUGGGACACGGGUCAUAAAAGUUUUCAAAGUAACAUAAUAACUUCAGUUGCUCUAUACAAACUUGAAGGUAACCUAAAUCCUGGAGAGAGACGAACUGGUGGUGAAUGGCACCACGCUCAGAACGGCUUGGAUUUCCCUUGGCAGUGGCACACGGCCCUGGAGAGUCACCUGGAGGCAGAGGUGAGCUAUGGCACUGUUACUGGGUUACCAUCUUAGACGAGUAACAUUGCUGGGAUACAGAACAUCCUUAUACACAACGACUUUUGAUGUGCUGCAUUGAAAACACAGUUUAAUUCAAGCAAAACCAAGAAAUUGAAAGCACUCGAGAAAGGGCUGCUUGCAUUGACGUGAGGCUGGCGUUGAGUAAUUUGGGAGAGUGCUAGUUUAGUACCGGGCUUGCUCUGCAGCCAUCAACACACGCCAGCAGGUAUGAAAAGCAGCCAAGGAAUGAGUUCCAGCGAAACCACAC